AUCGCCAGUGAUGUAUGGAACAGUGAUCAGCUGGCCUGGGUCAUUACUAGGGUUUUUGGGUUUAAGUUGUAGCUGAUGUCUAAUUCAAGAGAUGCCACUUGGGUAGUGCUUCUACUGCCCAAAUGUCAAAAUCGCUGCAAAAAUCAGUCGAAAUAGAGAGUUUUAAGGGUAAGGGAGGUGACAGAAGAGAGUGAGCACACAUGGCAUUUUCCUGCAUGACUUUACAUGCUCGAAGCUCUGCGUGCUUACUCUCUAUCUGUCACCCCACCACCAUCUCUCUCUCCUUAUCUUUCUGUGUAUUGUGAGGAUUCCAUUUGUUUUGUUUCGUUACAUUGAACUUCUUGUUUGUUCCUUGGUUGGUGUUUGUAAUAAGAAGCUGAACAUGCACAAAAAGCUACUGUGACCAGGAUUCGACAGCCAGCUAGCUACUGUCAAGGAAACUUGUCGUCGACAGCCUAGUAUCGGGUGAUGGCGACGGUGGUCACAAGGAGGAGCGGACACUUGGGCCGCCAGAUGGACGGUAGUUUAAACUGAAUUUGAUGGUAUUAGGAGAUAAGGUGUCAACUUUUAGAGUUUUGUUUUUACAGAGAUUCUUAGGACUUAGUUUAUCUUUGCUUAUCCCUUGUCUUGUCCCCUUUGUAAUUCUUCCUCUUUCCAAGAGUUGUCUUUUUUUUUUUA